rnacentral:lncRNA from 1 species
CCGCACUUGGGGGUCAGUUCCUGCCCCACUCGUGCCUCAGUUUCCCCGCACUUGGGGGUCAGUCCCUGCCCCACUGCCGGCUCCGCUGUGGGGCCGCAGGGCCGGGGGUCACUGCAGGGUCCCCCUGUGGGGCACCGUGGAGCUCUGUGGGUCACUCUGGGGCAGCGCCGGACGCUGGGGGUCACUGCUGGGGCUCCGUGGGUCACUCCAUGGGUCACUGCUGGGGCUCCGUGGGUCACUCCGUGGGUCACUUGUGGGUCGCUGUGGGUCACUUGUGGGUCGCUGUGGGUCACUCCAUGGGUCACUCAUGGGUCGCUGUGGGUCACUUGUGGGUCGCUGUGGGUCACCCGUGGGUCGCUGUGGGUCACUCCGUGGGUCACCC